AAAAACUGGACUAAGAACCAGAGUACACAGUUCUCCAAGGAGCAUAUAUAGGUGGCCCAUACACAUAUGACAGGAUGCUCAAUAUCACGAGCCAUCAGAGAGAUACAAAUUAAAACCACAGUGAGAUACCACUUCACAUGGGUCAGAAUGGCCAUCAU